rnacentral:rRNA from 1 species
CAGCCGCCGCGGGAAAACAGAGGGUGCGAGCGUUAAUCGGAUUUACUGGGCGUAAAGCGUGCGUAGGCGGCUUCUUAAGUCGGAUGUGAAAUCCCUGAGCUUAACUUAGGAAUUGCAUUCGAUACUGGGAAGCUAGAGUAUGGGAGAGGAUGGUAGAAUUCCAGGUGUAGCGGUGAAAUGCGUAGAGAUCUGGAGGAAUACCGAUGGCGAAGGCAGCCAUCUGGCCUAAUACUGACGCUGAGGUACGAAAGCAUGGGGAGCAAACAGGAUUAGAGACCCCUGUAGUCCCUGUCUCUUAUAC